rnacentral:rRNA from 1 species
AGAGUUUGAUCCUGGCUCAGAUUGAACGCUGGCGGCAGGCCUAACACAUGCAAGUCGAGCGGAAACGAGUUAUCAGAACCUUCGGGGGACGAUAACGGCGUCGAGCGGCGGACGGGUGAGUAAUGCCUAGGAAAUUGCCCUGAUGUGGGGGAUAACCAUUGGAAACGAUGGCUAAUACCGCAUGAUGCCUACGGGCCAAAGAGGGGGACCUUCGGGCCUCUCGCGUCAGGAUAUGCCUAGGUGGGAUUAGCUAGUUGGUGAGGUAAGGGCUCACCAAGGCGACGAUCCCUAGCUGGUCUGAGAGGAUGAUCAGCCACACUGGAACUGAGACACGGUCCAGACUCCUACGGGAGGCAGCAGUGGGGAAUAUUGCACAAUGGGCGCAAGCCUGAUGCAGCCAUGCCGCGUGUGUGAAGAAGGCCUUCGGGUUGUAAAGCACUUUCAGUCGUGAGGAAGGUAGUGUAGUUAAUAGCUGCAUUAUUUGACGUUAGCGACAGAAGAAGCACCGGCUAACUCCGUGCCAGCAGCCGCGGUAAUACGGAGGGUGCGAGCGUUAAUCGGAAUUACUGGGCGUAAAGCGCAUGCAGGUGGUUUGUUAAGUCAGAUGUGAAAGCCCGGGGCUCAACCUCGGAAUUGCAUUUGAAACUGGCAGACUAGAGCAUUUUCUGAGAGAGGCAAUUACCCGGUUGGCGAUGACGGCCCUGCUGGACCAGGAUAUACUGGACACUCCAGGAUUGCGAAAAGCGGUGGGGAGCAAAACAGGGAUUUAGAUACCCUUGGUAGGUCCACGCCGUAAAACGAAUGUCUACUUGGAAGGUUGUGGGCCCUGAGCCGUGGCUUUCGGAGCUAAACGCGUUAAGUAGACCGCCUGGGGAGUACGGUCGCAAGAUUAAAACUCAAAUGAAUUGACGGGGGCCCGCACAAGCGGUGGAGCAUGUGGUUUAAUUCGAUGCAACGCGAAGAACCUUACCUACUCUUGACAUCCAGAGAACUUUCCAGAGAUGGAUUGGUGCCUUCGGGAACUCUGAGACAGGUGCUGCAUGGCUGUCGUCAGCUCGUGUUGUGAAAUGUUGGGUUAAGUCCCGCAACGAGCGCAACCCUUAUCCUUGUUUGCCAGCGAGUAAUGUCGGGAACUCCAGGGAGACUGCCGGUGAUAAACCGGAGGAAGGUGGGGACGACGUCAAGUCAUCAUGGCCCUUACGAGUAGGGCUACACACGUGCUACAAUGGCGCAUACAGAGGGCGGCCAACUUGCGAAAGUGAGCGAAUCCCAAAAAGUGCGUCGUAGUCCGGAUUGGAGUCUGCAACUCGACUCCAUGAAGUCGGAAUCGCUAGUAAUCGUGGAUCAGAAUGCCACGGUGAAUACGUUCCCGGGCCUUGUACACACCGCCCGUCACACCAUGGGAGUGGGCUGCAAAAGAAGUAGGUAGUUUAACCUUCGGGGGGACGCUUACCACUUUGUGGUUCAUGACUGGGGUGAAGUCGUAACAAGGUAGCCGUA